AGUGCGCGGUGCCAAUAGCAAUACGGUACUGGCGCACGGCGCACGGGUGCGUAACACGUGGGUAAUCUGCCCUCUGAUGGGGAAUAACUCGCCGAAAGGCGAGCUAAUACCGCAUAACAUUCCUUGGACUCCGGUUUGAGGACUCAAAGCCGUAAGGCGUCGGAGGUGGAGCCCGCGCACGAUUAGCUAGUUGGUAGGGUAACGGCCUACCAAGGCUAUGAUCGUUAGCUGGUCUGAGAGGAUGGCCAGCCACACUGGAACUGAGACACGGUCCAGACUCCUACGGGAGGCAGCAGUGGGGAAUCUUGCGCAAUGGGCGAAAGCCUGACGCAGCGACGCCGCGUGGGGGAUGAAGCUUCUCGGAGUGUAAACCCCUUUCGACCGGGACGAAUACCUCGCAAGAGGGGUGACGGUACCGGUAUAAGAAGCCCCGGCUAACUACGUGCCAGCAGCCGCGGUAAGACGUAGGGGGCCAGCGUUGUUCGGAAUUACUGGGUGUAAAGGGUUCGUAGGCGGUGUGGCAAGUCGGGAGUGAAAUCUCUGGGCUCAACUCAGGGGCUGCUUCCGAAACUGCUGUGCUAGAGUGUGGGAGAGGCGCGUGGAAUUGCAGGUGUAGCGGUGAAAUGCGUAGAUAUCUGCAGGAACACCCGUGGCGAAAGCGGCGCGCUGGACCACUACUGACGCUGAGGAACGAAAGCUAGGGGAGCAAACAGGAUUAGAUACCCUGGUAGUCCUAGCCCUAAACGAUCAGGACUUGGGGUGCCACCCGUUCGGGUGUCGUCCCGGAGCUAACGCGUUAAGUCCUGCACCUGGGGAGUACGGUCGCAAGACUGAAACUCAAAGGAAUUGACGGGGGCCCGCACAAGCGGUGGAACAUG
rnacentral:rRNA from 1 species